UUCCGGUUGAUCCUGCCGGACCUGACUGCUAUCGGAUUGAUACUAAGCCAUGCGAGUCAUUGUAGCAAUACAAGGCAUACGGCUCAGUAACGCGUAGUCAACCUACCCUAUGGACGGGAAUAAUCUCGGGAAACUGAGAAUAAUGCCCGAUAGAACAUUAUGCCUGGAAUGGUUUAUGUUUCAAAUGAUUUAUCGCCGUAGGAUGGGACUGCGGCCUAUCAGUUUGUUGGUGAGGUAAUGGCCCACCAAGACUAUUACAGGUACGGGCUCUGAGAGGAGUAGCCCGGAGAUGGGUACUGAGACACGGACCCAGGCCCUAUGGGGCGCAGCAGGCGAGAAAACUUUGCAAUGUGCGAAAGCACGACAAGGUUAAUCCGAGUGGUUUGUGCUAAACGAACCUUUUGUCAGUCCUAGAAACACUAACGAAUAAGGGGUGGGCAAGUUCUGGUGUCAGCCGCCGCGGUAAUACCAG
rnacentral:rRNA from 1 species